AGACCUUGAUGUGGGCAUUUCCUUAAUAACUCCUUGAACUUUUUCCCAUGUUUUAUAUAAAGAUUCCCCAUCCUCUUGGGAGUAUGAGUUUAUUUCGGUCAUGAGUUU
rfam:Helianthus annuus linkage group 13, whole genome shotgun sequence.